CUUCGAAGCUGCGGUGGCUCUUUAAAGGCGAUGUUGGAGGCGCUUCACUGGGCUAAUGCUGUGCUCAAAUCGCCCGAGGCAGAAUCAGCACUCUAGCCUGGUUUUAAAAACUCU
rnacentral:lncRNA from 1 species